GAAGCUUGCUUCUCUGAUGUUAGCGGCGGACGGGUGAGUAACACGUGGAUAACCUACCUAUAAGACUGGGAUAACUUCGGGAAACCGGAGCUAAUACCGGAUAAUAUUUUGAACCGCAUGGUUCAAAAGUGAAAGACGGUCUUGCUGUCACUUAUAGAUGGAUCCGCGCUGCAUUAGCUAGUUGGUAAGGUAACGGCUUACCAAGGCAACGAUGCAUAGCCGACCUGAGAGGGUGAUCGGCCACACUGGAACUGAGACACGGUCCAGACUCCUACGGGAGGCAGCAGUAGGGAAUCUUCCGCAAUGGGCGAAAGCCUGACGGAGCAACGCCGCGUGAGUGAUGAAGGUCUUCGGAUCGUAAAACUCUGUUAUUAGGGAAGAACAUAUGUGUAAGUAACUGUGCACAUCUUGACGGUACCUAAUCAGAAAGCCACGGCUAACUACGUGCCAGCAGCCGCGGUAAUACGUAGGUGGCAAGCGUUAUCCGGAAUUAUUGGGCGUAAAGCGCGCGUAGGCGGUUUUUUAAGUCUGAUGUGAAAGCCCACGGCUCAACCGUGGAGGGUCAUUGGAAACUGGAAAACUUGAGUGCAGAAGAGGAAAGUGGAAUUCCAUGUGUAGCGGUGAAAUGCGCAGAGAUAUGGAGGAACACCAGUGGCGAAGGCGACUUUCUGGUCUGUAACUGACGCUGAUGUGCGAAAGCGUGGGGAUCAAACAGGAUUAGAUACCCUGGUAGUCCACGCCGUAAACGAUGAGUGCUAAGUGUUAGGGGGUUUCCGCCCCUUAGUGCUGCAGCUAACGCAUUAAGCACUCCGCCUGGGGAGUACGACCGCAAGGUUGAAACUCAAAGGAAUUGACGGGGACCCGCACAAGCGGUGGAGCAUGUGGUUUAAUUCGAAGCAACGCGAAGAACCUUACCAAAUCUUGACAUCCUUUGACAACUCUAGAGAUAGAGCUUUCCCCUUCGGGGGACAAAGUGACAGGUGGUGCAUGGUUGUCGUCAGCUCGUGUCGUGAGAUGUUGGGUUAAGUCCCGCAACGAGCGCAACCCUUAAGCUUAGUUGCCAUCAUUAAGUUGGGCACUCUAAGUUGACUGCCGGUGACAAACCGGAGGAAGGUGGGGAUGACGUCAAAUCAUCAUGCCCCUUAUGAUUUGGGCUACACACGUGCUACAAUGGACAAUACAAAGGGCAGCGAAACCGCGAGGUCAAGCAAAUCCCAUAAAGUUGUUCUCAGUUCGGAUUGUAGUCUGCAACUCGACUACAUGAAGCUGGAAUCGCUAGUAAUCGUAGAUCAGCAUGCUACGGUGAAUACGUUCCCGGGUCUUGUACACACCGCCCGUCACACCACGAGAGUUUGUAACACCCGAAGCCGGUGGAGUAACCUUUUAGGAGCUAGCCGUCGAAGGUGGGACAAAUGAUUGGGGUGAAGUCGUAACAAGGUAGCCGUAUCGGAAGGUGCGGCUG
rnacentral:rRNA from 1 species